CUCCCUUCAAAAUGGCUUCUGGAUUCCCAAAACAGACACCGACACCUCGUCCUUGGUCCAGGGAAAUGCUGAAGUCUUUUACUCUGCGUCCCUCUAAGUCCCUGUGGGAAAAGUUUUUCAGCAUGAAGAAGAAGAUCGAAGCCAGGAGGAGUAUUCUGCCCAGCAUUAACCCAGUUCUAGACAAGAGUGAGCCUCAUCAGAAGCUGUCGUCAGUUCCCCU